UGCAUUUCGGAACGCAGCUUUAAUAAGCAGACAAUAGUUACCAGCGGUUAACGAAUAGAAAACACAUUGAGAAAUGCGUUAAAGAAGAAAUCGGCAAUCUGCCAUUAUCUCGCUGUAGCCUUUCAUUUAUCACCGGUUAUGUUACCGCAUCUGCUAAUAAGUUUGGAGUCACUACCUCAAGAAAGCUCGCAACUUCCCUUGAAAAUACUGGAGAUAAGGCUGCCAAUAAGGCUCUUUGUUUAAUCAAGGAGAAUCAAUGAAAUACAGUUUAGCUAAUAAAGAGUCCUUAUUCUUUAAGGUAGAUCUAUGAAUGCGGAUACAAGGGUCUGCAUCUGAAUGGAAACAUUUUACAGAGAGCCGUGAAAUAGGCAUAGGUAUUUGACAUGUCUUGACUAAAAUAUAGUAGUAUAGCACUUUCUGUGAUAUCUAUAACUUCAUGUGUUUUGUCUUGUAAAUGUUGUAUUAUAUUUUAUCAGGGAAAAUUUUUACAUUGUUUCCAAGGAAACCACAAAACUAGAUUAUAUUAUCAUGAUUUUUAUAUUUUUAUUACAAUUAUAUAUAUAUUAUAUCAGAUUAUCGUAUUGUUUAUAUUAUUCCCAAAGCGACUAUAGAGAUAGAAUUUAUAAUGAGGUCUCCAAAAUUAUCGUUUUUAUUUCUAAUUCUCUUUUCAAUCUGUCUUAAAUUAGGGACAUUUAAUAAUAGAAAUCCAAUGUUUUACUACUUUGUUUUCUCUUUUAUAUUAGGAGAUUUUGCAAUAUUUUUCUUUUCAGUCUGUGAAACAGUUUUGUCAUAAGAUUGGCUGCAAGAGUAUUCGAAUGGAUUUCCAAAUGAUAUCUUUGACUGUAGUUCUUAAUUUCUUUUCUAAUAGUGGAAAUUUUGUCUUAUUAGCGUGAAUUUUGUCUUAUUAGCGUGAUUUUGUUUUAUUAACUCUAUGUACUAAUGUACUAUAUUUUCAGCCAUUUCUAUAUGUUUAUGAGAUUUCUUUUUCUAAGAGAUGGAAUGCUAUAAUAAGAUCAUCAUGAAAAUCUAGAACAGCAGUAUCAUUCGCUAUGGCAUCACAGUUAGAAUGUCAGGAGUUGUUGGUAAGCUAUAUACAAUAGGUAGAGUAUUGGACCAAGUACAUGAGACUCCAGAAUGUAUUUCAUAUAGUGUUGUAACUACUUCCUCGUGCUUUACUAGAAACAUUCUAUAUUCUAAUUUAUAGAUCUAUCUUGAAGAAUAAGGACUCUUUAUUAGCUAAAUUAUAUUUCAUCGAUUCUCCUUAAUCAAACAAAAAGCCUUAUUGGCUCUUAUAUGAUUUGAGGAUGUUGUAGAAAUUUUGUGGUAGGCUUAUCUUAAUUUUAUAUAGAAGACCAUUAUGCCAGAUUCUGUCAAAGACCUGAGAGAUGUCGAGAAAUGCUACAGAACAUCAUCUUUUAGCAUCUUUAUUUAUUUUGCUACCUAAUCUAUUUGCACUUUGCCUAUUGUCGCAUAUUUCUGGCGGAAACCAAAUUAAUGUUUAGGUAUCAGUUCCUUAUUUUCAAUUAUAGGUAACAGUUGUUUCAUUAAGGUCUCAAAUAUUUUCGAAGCUGUUAGUAAUAAACUUAUUUCUGUAUAUUAUGCUUAUGAGUCGUCUACAGGCUUCUCUGGUUUUAGUAUCAUGAUAAUGUAGGCCACUAGGUACUCUGAAAAGAUCGUUUGAGAUACAUAUAUUUAAUACCUUAGGUUAUUUAUCUAUCGAAAUGAUGCCUUCCAUAUUGCGUUCUUAUUGCGUGUCUGCUAUGUCAUAUAAGUGUUCUUUGUGUAAUACAAAUCAUUCUUUAAAUAGUUGCUCGGAAUUUUUAAAUAAAACCGCGCUUCAGUGUUUUGAGUUAA